UACAUAGGGGGCAAGCGUCAUCCGGAAUUAUUGGGCGUAAAGGGUGCGUAGGCGGUUUGUUAAGUCUAAGGUGUAAGUUCAAGGCUCAACCUUGUGAUGCUUUAGAAACUGGCGGACUAGAGAUAGAUAGAGGCAAGUGGAAUUCCAUGUGUAGCGGUAAAAUGCGUAAAUAUAUGGAGGAACACCAGUGGCGAAGGCGGCUUGCUGGGUCUAUACUGACGCUGAGGCACGAAAGCGUGGGGAGCAAACAGG
rnacentral:rRNA from 1 species